rnacentral:rRNA from 1 species
UACGGGGGGGAGCAAGCGUUGUUCGGAUUUACUGGGCGUAAAGGGCGCGUAGGCGGUCAGCACAAGUCAGUUGUGAAAUCUCCGGGCUUAACUCGGAAAGGUCAACUGAUACUGUGCGACUAGAGUGCAGAAGGGGCAACUGGAAUUCUUGGUGUAGCGGUGAAAUGCGUAGAUAUCAAGAGGAACACCUGCGGCGAAGGCGGGUUGCUGGGCUGACACUGACGCUGAAGCGCGAAAGCCAGGGGAGCGAACGGG